UACGAAGGGGGCUAGCGUUGCUCGGAAUCACUGGGCGUAAAGCGCACGUAGGCGGCUUUUAAGUCAGGGGUGAAAUCCUGGAGCUCAACUCCAGAACUGCCUUUGAUACUGAGAGCUUGAGUCCGGGAGAGGUGAGUGGAACUGCGAGUGUAGAGGUGAAAUUCGUAGAUAUCGCAAGAACACCAGUGGCGAAGGCGGCUCUCUGGGACGGUACUGACGCUGAGACGCGAAAGCGUGGGGAGCGAACAGG
rnacentral:rRNA from 1 species